AUCCGAAGAAAGUGACAGUGAAGAAGAGGUCCAAAAGCGAGGUACGCCUCACGCGAAAGCCUAUGACGAGGAAAGUGUCGCGUCACUGAGCGCUACCCAGGACGAAACCCAGGACGGAACCCAGGACAGCUUCCAGGCAAGCAAUGGAGCACCAGAGUCCGCGCACUUGUUACAGGGCGGAUAUAUGCUGGCAGCCUCAUACUGGCCGAAGGACCGGGUAAUGAUCAACCGCUUGGACAGUAUUUGUCAAACAGUUCUGAAAGGGAAGUGGCCGUCAGCUAGAAGACAUUAUGAUGCUAACACAGUGGCGUCUUUCUAUACCACAAAACUGCUGGACAGUCCCGGAGCAGCUACAGAAUACAGCGAGCCCAGUGUCCCCACGCCCCCAG
rnacentral:lncRNA from 1 species